UACGGAGGAUGCAAGCGUUAUCCGGAAUGAUUGGGCGUAAAGCGUCCGCAGGUGGCUGUGUAAGUCUGCUGUCAAAGAGCAAAGCUCAACUUUGUAAAGGCAGUGGAAACUACACGGCUAGAGUGCGUUCGGGGCAGAGGGAAUUCCUAGUGUAGCGGUGAAAUGCGUAGAGAUCAGGAAGAACACCUGAGGUGAAGACGGGUUGCUGGGCUGACACUGACGCUGAGGCGCGAAAGCCAGGGGAGCAAACGGG
rnacentral:rRNA from 1 species